rnacentral:lncRNA from 1 species
AUGACUUGGUGACCUAGCCUACAAUGACUGCAUCUGUCUAUCAUCUCUCUUCUAUCCUUUCAUCUGUCCAUCCAUCUUACAUAAGUACCAACUAAAAAUGGAUACUUACCUCUCAUUAAGCACAACAUUUCUGGAAAGUUGACCGCCUCCCAAGCAAAGAUAUUUUGUGUAAUUCAAAUAAAUUCCAAAUAUUCACUUUUCUACCUACUGUUGGAGUCCCAUUUUACAGAAUCAUUGAAGUCUUGAGGAUGCAGGGGUAUGUUGAUGAUGAUUUAGGAUUUCUGGGAUUAUUAUAUGCCUGCUCUGUCUUCCUCCUGCCUGUUCCUGCCUCUAUUUUUCAAUUUCUCUCUAAUCCUGACCAUAGUGAGCAGGGGUUAGACAUCUCCAUCUCCCCACCAGCCCCUAGCCUCCUCUUAUCCCCCCAUUCAAGUUCUCUGUAUUUUGCUUAUUUAGUUGGCAAUUGCUUCUUGAUGGCUGGGGCCUAUUAAGGAUCCUGUCCCAGGUACUGAUGAUACAAAGCUGAGCUGGACAAGGUGGCCACAGCCUGGUUUAUCUAAGGGCUAGGAGAAUGGUCUGAGCCAAACAGCAUUGCAGCAACAAGAAGAGCUGGAUGAACAUUCCCAUAGGCAAGAACAUUCACGUGGACAGUUAAGGAGAGUAAGAGCCUGGGAAGGGCCAUCACCAGCAGAGACACGGCAUGAGCAGGGGAUGGAGAAACACAAAGGCAGCUUACCUUCUGUGAGCAGCAAGGCUCAGUAUGGUUGCGACAAAGGAGUGGGCGGGGACAGUGGGAAACCAGCAUGGCUAGAGAGCACUCCAUCAGGCUUUGUGGACAAUAAAUUAACUUGCAUGUAGUAGGGUGAGGAGCAUCUGCUUGUCAACUGACAUUUAAAUAGCAGUUGCCAGUAGGAAAGUAAGCAUAUGGUUAGUUGAAUGAAGAGCCAGAAAGAGACAAAUACAUCCAAUAAAAGAUUUUAGCGCUUUCUCAAUUUAUAUGUUAGUGUUUGUAAUCUGCUUCUGCAAGCCAGCUGAGAUGUUGAUCUCACUCACUGACCUUGUAUGACCUAAGGCGUCCAAAUCAGCACCAACCUUGGUUUAGUCUUUAACUGCUGAGACAGAGUUCUCAAAGGAGGGUUCCCUGGAACAGCAGUAUCAGCACCACCUGGGAACUUCUUAGACAUGCAAAUUCUCAGGCUCCAACCCAGAUCUCCUGAACCAGAGACUCUGAGGGUGAGGCCCAUGAUCUGGGGUUAACAAACCCUCUGUUGACUCUGCUGCUCACACAAGUUGGAGAACACUGGUCUAAGAGAAGCAUACAUUGAGGUGGAGCCCCUGGCUCAGUGGGCACUGGUAGGGGCCCUAGCACUGUCACUGAAGCCUUUGAAGCAUCAUGUUUUCAUCAGUGUCUACAGUCAGAACAGACGGUAGCUACAAACUCCCUCCCUCUUGUUCCACUCCUAGACAACCGUCCUGGCAGUCCCACUCACUUCCACACACAGCCCUUCCCCAUCCUGCUCCUUUCUCCCUCUGUCUCCUUUUCCCUUCCCCUUCCUCUUGUUUUUCCCCACCUUUCCUUUUUGGCUUCCAUUUCUCCUCUUUCUGUACAUGUUUCAAGCAGUGGCAUCUCUUUUCUAGUUUUUCCCUCUUGCUCCCUACCCAUCUUUGUUCAAGAUCACCACAAAUCAAGUCAUGCGCAGCCAUUCCCAGCCCACACCUCUCCCCUCCCAUUAUUUAUUCGGAUCAUCUUGAGAAGGCAAUUGGGUCAGCUGCAAGCAAGUUCCUUAAUAGCUAACAGGGAGGUGGCAGGGAAGGCAGUCUCCACCCAUUGCCGAGUUUGUCAAAGGAGGCAGAGAGGCAUUGGGAGCUGCAUGCAUGGGAUGCAGUUGACCAUGGACUGAUUGCACCUUCCCUGAGAGCUAAAUCCAGGUACCACGUCCUCUGACAUGGUCUAAGUCCAAGCUAGGACUUUCCUGGAAACCUUGCAAUCACUUUUCCAGUGACCCGCAGCUCGGAGGUCUUUGUUUACGCCCUCUUUCCUAUUGAGGAAUUUCCUAGAGGCGAAGACAGAAGAACUGUUGGGAUUUGGUUUUAGAAAGGCACAGGCCACAACUUCAAAAUGAUAUAAAUGCCACAGAUGGCUGCCUCUGUCCAUUAAGACAGAAGGUUUGAUGUCUCAUCCUUGUUCCAGCUGUUUGAUGGAGCCCAGGAAAGAACGCUCUCUCCAGUGCAACUCCAUCUACCACGUUGAGUACAGAGGCCUCUGAAAUGUGCCACAGAAGCCAGAUUCCAAAUGGGCUGCAAUUUGCUAAGCAUUACAGCUAUUUCAUUCUGCUCUACAAGAUUCAGUACAAGAAGAAAAAACUAUCAAUCACUACCAUAACGAACACAUAUUUCUAAAAUAAACCCUCCUGUCUGAAAACUGUAGGACAGACACUUGCACUCAAAGUAAAUGGCAUUUAGGGUCAUCAUUGUGGUUUAGUGCUCCUGUACCUUUAUGAUAUGUGAUAAAUGAUCACCUGGAAUCUGCUAAAUAAAUAUUUUUCUAUGUAGAUCUC